UACGUAGGGGGCAAGCGUUGUUCGGAAUUACUGGGCGUAAAGGGCGCGUAGGCGGCAGGCCACGUCGGGAGUGAAAGCCCGGGGCUCAACCCCGGAAUGUCUUUCGAAACUGGCCAGCUGGAGUGCGGAAGAGGCAACUGGAAUUCCCAGUGUAGCGGUGAAAUGCGUAGAUAUUGGGAAGAACACCUGAGGCGAAGGCGGGUUGCUGGGCCGACACUGACGCUGAGGCGCGAAAGCCAGGGGAGCAAACGGG
rnacentral:rRNA from 1 species